rnacentral:misc_RNA from 1 species
GAACUGCGAUAAGUAAUGUGAAUUGUAGAAUUCAGUGAAUCAUCGAGUCUUUGAACGCACAUUGCGCCCCCUGGCAUUCCGGGGGGCAUGCCUGUCCGAGCGUCAUUGCUGCCCUUCAAGCCCGGCUUGUGUGUUGGGUCGUCGUCCCCCCCGGGGGACGGGCCCGAAAGGCAGCGGCGGCACCGCGUCCGGUCCUCGAGCGUAUGGGGCUUUGUCACCCGCUCGAUAAGGACCGGCCGGGCGCCAGCCGGCGUCUCCAACCUUUUUUUCUCAGGUUGACCUCGGAUCAGGUAGGGAUACCCGCUGAACUUAAGC